rnacentral:tRNA from 3 species
CGGGGAGUGGCGCAGUCUGGUAGCGCACCUGGUUUGGGACCAGGGGGCCGUAGGUUCGAAUCCUAUCUCCCCGACCA